CAGCCGCCACGGUAAUACGAAGGGGGCUAGCGUUGCUCGGAAUUACUGGGCGUAAAGGGAGCGUAGGCGGACAUUUAAGUCAGGGGUGAAAUCCCAGAGCUCAACUCUGGAACUGCCUUUGAUACUGGGUGUCUUGAGUGUGAUAGAGGUAUGUGGAACUCCGAGUGUAGAGGUGAAAUUUGUAGAUAUUCGGAAGAACACCAGUGGCGAAGGCGACAUACUGGAUCAUUACUGACGCUGAGGCUCGAAAGCGUGGGGAGCAAACAGGAUUAGAUACCCGCGUAGUCCCUGUCUCUUAUAC
rnacentral:rRNA from 1 species